AGUGAACGCUGGCGGUAGGCCUAACACAUGCAAGUCGAACGGCAGCACAGUAAGAGCUUGCUCUUACGGGUGGCGAGUGGCGGACGGGUGAGGAAUACAUCGGAAUCUACUUUUUCGUGGGGGAUAACGUAGGGAAACUUACGCUAAUACCUCAUACGACCUACGGGUGAAAUCAAGAGAUCUUCGGACCUUUCGCGAUUGAAUUAGCCGAUGUCGGAUUAGCUAGGUGGCGGGGUAACGGCCCACCAAAGCAACGAUGCGUAGCCGGCCUGAGAGGAUGAUCGGCCACACUGGAACUGAGACACGGUCCAGACUCCUACGGGAGGCAGCAGUAGGGAAUCUUCCGCAAUGGGCGAAAGCCUGACGGAGCAACGCCGCGUGAGUGAAGAAGGUCUUCGGAUCGUAAAACUCUGUUAUUAGGGAAGAACAAAUGCGUAAGUAACUAUGCACGUCUUGACGGUACCUAAACAGAAAGCCACGGCUAACUACGUG
rnacentral:rRNA from 1 species